AUUACUUUGGCAGAUUAGUGUGUUAAAUUUAGAAUUUAAUUAUAUAUAUGAUAAAUAAUGUUAUUAAAAUAUAUAGGUAAUA
rnacentral:tRNA from 1 species